rnacentral:rRNA from 1 species
CGGACGGGUGAGUGCCGCGUGGGCCACCUGCCNUCGGGACUGGGAUAACCUCCGGUAGACGGAUGCUGGUUCCGGAUGUGCGGUUUCUCCGACCUGGAGAGAUCGGGAAAGACGGAGCAAUCUGUCGCUUGGGGAUGGGCCUGCGGCGCAUUAGCUAGUUGGUGAGGUAACGGCUCACCAAGGCGACGAUGCGUAGCCGACCUGAGAGGGUGAUCGGCCACACUGGGACUGAGACACGGCCCAGACUCCUACGGGAGGCAGCAGUAGGGAAUCUUCCGCAAUGGACGCAAGUCUGACGGAGCAACGCCGCGUGAGUGAGGAAGGCCUUCGGGUCGUAAAGCUCUGUUGCCAGGGAAGAACGGGUGGAAGAGUAACUGCUUCCGCCAUGACGGUACCUGAGAAGAAAGCCCCCGGCUAACUACGUGCCAGCAGNCCGCCGGUAAUACGUAGGGGGGCACGCGUUGUCCGGAAUNAUUGGGCGUAAAGCGCGCGCAGGCCGGCUUUGUAAGUCCCGGGU